rnacentral:lncRNA from 1 species
CAGUGCGAGGGGUCAAUGACGGUGACAAAUCGGUCACCGAAAUCCUCACACAGGCCCAAGAUGACCUUGUUCGUUGCCAAAGAGCAUUGGCCUCUGUUGAAGUUCCGCUUCCUAUGCCAGUAUCGACGACGAACUUUUGGGUCAUGUUAUAUAGGGAUGUUGCAUUCCUUGUUUCUUCCCAGUUAUUCAAUAUCUAGAAAAAGAUAUGAGAAUAGUGUAUUGAAAUUUGAAAAUACACGCCUACCAAAGAAAUGUAUCUGUGAUUACUAUAAAUAAAAAGGAUAGAAAUUUGAAGAAAUGAAAAAAAUUUGAUAUGAAUAAC